rnacentral:rRNA from 1 species
UACGAAGGGGGCUAGCGUUGUUCGGAAUCACUGGGCGUAAAGGGCGCGUAGGCGGCUUUGUAAGUCGGGGGUGAAAGCCUGUGGCUCAACCACAGAAUUGCCUUCGAUACUUCAUGGCUUGAGACCGGAAGAGGUAAGUGGAACUGCGAGUGUAGAGGUGAAAUUCGUAGAUAUUCGCAAGAACACCAGUGGCGAAGGCGGCUUACUGGUCCGGUUCUGACGCUGAGGCGCGAAAGCGUGGGGAGCAAACAGG